GGCUAUACGGGCCAAAGGUGUGUAUAUAAAUAAUUGAUAUUGACAUGGUGCCCUAAUUGAUGACUUAUGUCGCACAGCGACAGUCGAGAAGAAUUAAAUUCGGUUGUCAGUCCUCCUGAUGAGCCUUCCUGAAAAGUUGCUUCGUCGAAACCCGGAGCUGACAAGAUCACUGAAACCCCACCUGAUGUGGUGGAAGUUGUCGAACCAGCCCUUCGAGGACCACCUUCAUGCACGGACUGAGAAGGAUGUGGAGGUUUUUGACGUGGUAAAAAUAAUUGUCUGCUGUUCAUUUAUUUUCUGGCCCUCUCCAAGAGAUAUGUAAGAAAUGUAUUUGUAAUAUGAAAUAUAAUUGCAUUUAGUCCUGUUAUCAAUCAAUGUGAGACUGAACAUCGACAAGGCGCAGGAGAAACAGAAGGAGAGCUACCAGGGGAGAAUCAAGAAGGGGGGGGAAAAGUACUUCGACAUCCGGGCGAAUUACUCGGUUUGGAAGAAGGUCGAAAGGAAGGCGAGACUUGGGGAAACCUCGCUGCUUUUUCGUUCCUAACUGGAGUCACCACCCGUUAAGGGUUACCUCGGUGGAAGCUAACAAUCUUCUCCAGUUGGACGGUCGACCACUGAAAGCCCUGAUGCCCUACACUUCAGUGAAGCCCAUUAGAAAAGAUCAUCGACUGUCCGAGCCCCCCAGGAGGUAUCCCAUCCACCAGAGCCAGUGAGUUCAGAUCAGUCUGGUUCUCUGUGCUCUGAGUCGGAAGGGGACCAGCCUGAUGUCCUCCAUUACCAACCACUCUCCAACUUUUCAUUACAUCAUAUUCAGCUACUGUUAUUGUCAUGUUGUCAUUAUCUGCUAAGAAAGUUUUGUUGCUCUAUCAUGCUGGGCACAUAAUAUGUGCGAUACACAGAUUAACUAAAAACACUAGCACUGCAAACAUUCAGAACAAAGAGAGCAGCAGUGCCUGGCCUUUGCAGUUUCCCUCUUCAAGUCCCUCUUCUGAGACUGGCUGCCUGUUGUGAACAAGUGACAGGAAGAACCUCCCACCCACACAGCAACCACCUCCUUUAUAUUCCACACACCAUAAUUCUGUAUUUUAGUUUUGAUUGCCAUGAGUGUACAAAAUAAAAUUAAUGACACAACUGUA